rnacentral:rRNA from 1 species
CAGUAGCCGCGGGAAUACGUAGGGUGCAAGCGUUGUCCGGAAUUAUUGGGCGUAAAGAGCUCGUAGGCGGUUUGUCGCGUCGGCUGUGAAAACCUGGGGCUCAACCCCGGGCCUGCAGCCGAUACGGGCAAACUAGAAUUCGGUAGGGGAGACUGGAAUUCCUGGUGUAGCGGUGAAAUGCGCAGAUAUCAGGAGGAACACCGGUGGCGAAGGCGGGUCUCUGGGCCGAUAUUGACGCUGAGGAGCGAAAGCGUGGGGAGCAAACAGGAUUAGAUACCCGUGUAGUCCCUGUCUCUUAUAC